rnacentral:rRNA from 1 species
CCUACGGGUGUCAGCAGUGAGGAAUAUUGGUCAAUGGACGAGAGUCUUACCCAGCCAAGUCGCGUGAAGGAUGACUGCCCUAUGGGUUGUAAACUUCUUUUCUCUGGGAAUAAAACGUUCCACGUGUGGGAUUUUGUAUGUACCCUAUGAUUAAGGAUAGGCUAACUCCGUGCCAGCAGCCGCGGUAAUACGGAGGAUCCGAACGUUAUCCGUCUUUAUUGGGGUUAAAGGGAGCGUAGGUGGAUGGUUAAUUUAGUUGUGAAAGUGUGGGGCUCAACCGGAAAAUUGCAGGUGAAACUGGCAGUCUUGAGUACAGUAGAGGUGGGCGGAAUUCGUGGUGUAGCGGUGAAAUGCUUAGAUAUCACGAAGAACUCCGAUUGCGAAGGCAGUUCACUGGACUGCAACUGACACUGAGGCUCGAAAGUGUGGGUAUCAAACAGGAGUAGAUACCCCAGUAGUC